rnacentral:rRNA from 1 species
GACAGAGGGUGCAAGCGUUGCUCGGAUUUACUGGGCGUAAAGCGUACGCAGACGGUGAGAAAGGUCGGAUGUGAAAGCCCCGGGCUCAACCCGGGAACUGCAUCCGAAACCAUCUCGCUAGAGUAUGGGAGAGGGAAGCGGAAUUCCUGGUGUAGAGGUGAAAUUCGUAGAUAUCAGGAGGAACAUCUGCGGCGAAGGCGGCUUCCUGGCCCAUUACUGACGUUCAGGUACGAAAGCGUGGGUAGCAAACAGGGAUUAAGAAACCCCAGU